GCGGCGUUAGCUCAGUUGGUAGAGCUCCUGGUUGUGGUCCAGGCGGUCGUGGGUUCAAGUCCCACACGUCGCC
rnacentral:tRNA from 1 species